rnacentral:SRP_RNA from 1 species
CCGGCCGGGGAGUCAGCGGUGUCCUGUAACCUGCAAUCCGCUACAGCAGGGGUGGUUUCCUUUACUGAGGGCUGAAUACGUACGGUCUGUGCUGUAACAAAAGCGUUGACGAAUUGGCCUUGCGCAAUUGAAGACUGUGAACCAUGUCAGGCGGGGAACCGAGCAGCAUUAAGCAGUUACUUUGAUGUGCCGCAAGCAAGCCUGUUUUGAGCCGGAGCUGCAGUGUCGCGUAUGUGUUUACGUUCGAAGUUGGGUGU